GGACUACUAGGGUUUCUAAUCCAGUUCGCUCCCCUAGCUUUCGCGCCUGAGCGUCAGGUAAGGCCCAGAGAUCCGCCUUCGCCACCGGUGUUCCUCCUGAUAUCUGCGCAUUUCACCGCUACACCAGGAAUUCCGAUCUCCCCUACCUACCUCUAGCCGGGCAGUAUCGGAUGCAGACCCGAGGUUGAGCCUCGGGAUUUCACAUCCGACUUACCAAGCCGCCUGCGCGCUCUUUACGCCCAAUGAAUCCGGACAACGCUCGCCUCCUACGUCUUACCGCGGCUGCUGGCAC
rnacentral:rRNA from 1 species